rnacentral:rRNA from 1 species
GUGAGGAAUAUUGGGCAAUGGUCGGAAGACUGACCCAGCCAUGCCGCGUGCAGGAAGACGGCCCUCUGGGUUGUAAACUGCUUUUAUCUGGGAAGAAAAAGGCCAUGCGUGGCAAAUUGCCGGUACCAGAUGAAUAAGCACCGGCUAACUCCGUGCCAGCAGCCGCGGUAAUACGGAGGGUGCGAGCGUUGUCCGGAUUUAUUGGGUUUAAAGGGUGCGUAGGCGGCUGAUUAAGUCAGCGGUGAAAGACUUCGGCUUAACCGGAGCAGUGCCGUUGAUACUGGUUGGCUUGAGUGUCGGAGGGGUACAUGGAAUUGAUGGUGUAGCGGUGAAAUGCAUAGAUACCAUCAGGAACACCGAUAGCGAAGGCAUUGUACUGGCCGACAACUGACGCUGAUGCACGAAAGUGUGGGGAUCGAACAGGAUUAGAAACCCGAGUAGUCC